CAACAGGUGUUUUUCAACACCACCCAGCGGGAAGAAAGUUAUCA
rfam:Albugo candida, Ac Nc2, WGS project CAIX01000000 data, contig: AcNc2_CONTIG_101_length_75748